CAGCAGCCACGGUAAUACGUAGGGUGCGAGCGUUGUCCGGAAUUAUUGGGCGUAAAGAGCUCGUAGGCGGCUUGUCGCGUCGGAUGUGAAAGCCCGGGGCUUAACUCCGGGUCUGCAUUCGAUACGGGCAGGCUAGAGUGUGGUAGGGGAGAUCGGAAUUCCUGGUGUAGCGGUGAAAUGCGCAGAUAUCAGGAGGAACACCGGUGGCGAAGGCGGAUCUCUGGGCCAUUACUGACGCUGAGGAGCGAAAGCGUGGGGAGCGAACAGGAUUAGAUACCCCCGUAGUCCCUGUCUCUUAUAC
rnacentral:rRNA from 1 species